AUACGUAGGUGACAAGCGUUAUCCGGAUUUACUGGGCGUAAAGGGCGUGUAGGCGGUCUUGCAAGUCAGAAGUGAAAUUCCUGAGCUCAACUCGGGCGCUGCUUCUGAAACUGCAGGACUUGAGUGCUGGAGGGGAUAGCGGAAUUCCUAGUGGAGCGGUAAAAUGCGCAGAUAUUAGGAAGAACACCGGUGGCGAAGGCGGCUAUAUGGACGGUAACUGACGCUGAGCCGCGUAAGCGUGGAGAGCAAACAGGAUUAGAUGCCCUGGUAUUCCACGCCGUAAACGAUGAAUACUAGGUGUAGGGGGUAUCGACUCCCUCUGUGCCGCAGUUAACACAAUAAGUAUUCCGCCUGGGGAGUACGGCCGCAAGGUUGAAACUCAAAUGAAUUGACGGGG
rnacentral:rRNA from 1 species